GAUGAACGCUGGCGGCGUGCCUAAUACAUGCAAGUCGAGCGAACAGACGAGGAGCUUGCUCCUCUGACGUUAGCGGCGGACGGGUGAGUAACACGUGGAUAACCUACCUAUAAGACUGGGAUAACUUCGGGAAACCGGAGCUAAUACCGGAUAAUAUAUUGAACCGCAUGGUUCAAUAGUGAAAGACGGUUUUGCUGUCACUUAUAGAUGGAUCCGCGCCGCAUUAGCUAGUUGGUAAGGUAACGGCUUACCAAGGCGACGAUGCGUAGCCGACCUGAGAGGGUGAUCGGCCACACUGGAACUGAGACACGGUCCAGACUCCUACGGGAGGCAGCAGUAGGGAAUCUUCCGCAAAGGGCGAAAGCCUGACGGAGCAACGCCGCGUGAGUGAUGAAGGUCUUCAGAUCGUAAAACUCUGUUAUUAGGGAAGAACAAAUGUGUAAGUAACUAUGCACGUCUUGACGGUACCUAAUCAGAAAGCCACGGCUAACUACGUG
rnacentral:rRNA from 1 species